AGUCUUAUAUUCAAAAAAUGAUAUAAAAUUGCAAAUUUUAUGGUGUAAAAAUAUACUAAGGCUU
rnacentral:tRNA from 1 species